ACAGCACGGGGAUCGGAGUCCAAACACACAUCCCAGAGAGAGCCAUGGAGAAGCUGUGUUGCUGUUUAUCACUGCAUCACUCGGGCAUUUCUACUGCAUUCAGUUCAUUAGAAUUUGGUUCUUAAGUUGGACCCAGCUCGACCAGGACCAGUUUCAAAGAAGACCCAGUCUGACCCUGGCCGGUUUCCCAGCCAGCCCACCUCCAGAUGCAGCGAGGAAGCAGCCAGCUCAAGGGGCAGCACAGGUACCUAUGUUUGGUUGCUCUGUUGCUCCUGGGGGGAUCCUUGGGGUCUCCUCGGUUCCCUCU
rnacentral:lncRNA from 1 species